rnacentral:tRNA from 1 species
GGAGCGGUAGUUCAGUUGGUAAGAAUACCGGCCUGUCACGCCGGGGGUCGCGGGUUCGAGUCCCGUCCGCUCCGCCA